AAAGCAAAAUGUAGCCAAGAACAACUUGCCGACGUGAAAGAUCGUAAAGAAGAAGAAGAAGAAUAUAUAGAUAUUGGUGAAAUGUAUCUGCCGGCAAGUCAUCCUUGGCUGCACUCUACUUUCU
rfam:Phaseolus vulgaris cultivar G19833 chromosome 3, whole genome shotgun sequence.